GGGAUUUCAUUAUUUUGUUACUUUCAUUGAUGUUUAUUCUUGCUGCACCUAGGUAUUUUUAAUGAAAAAUCGUUUUGAAUUGUUCCCCAUAUUUCAAAAAUUUUGUGCUAAGAUUCAUACUAAAUUUGGUGUUACAAUAAAAGUGUUACAUAGUGAUAAUGCUCAAGAGUAUUUAUCUUCUUCUCUUAACAACUUCAUGUCUUCCCAGGGAAUCACUCAUCAGAUUUCUUAU
rnacentral:misc_RNA from 1 species